ACGGAGGGGGCCAGCGUUGUUCGGAAUCAUUGGGCGUAAAGGGCGCGUAGGCGGCUGUUCAAGUCGGACGUGAAAUCCCUCGGCUCAACCGAGGAAUUGCGUCCGAUACUGUCCAGCUUGAGUCCUGGAGAGGGUAGCGGAAUUCCCGGUGUAGCGGUGAAAUGCGUAGAGACCGGGAAGAACACCAGUGGCGAAGGCGGCUACCUGGACAGGUACUGACGCUGAAGCGCGAAAGCUAGGGGAGCAAACAGGA
rnacentral:rRNA from 1 species